UCAAAAACAUGUCCUAUUGAAUAUAAUUUUAGGUUUGACCUGCCCCCUGAAUUUUAAAUGGCCGCGGUAUUUUGACCGUGCUAAGGUAGCAUAAUAAUUAGUUUCUUAAUUAGAAGCUGGUAUGAAUGGUUUUAUGAAAAAGUAACUGUCUCUAUUUAAUUUUAAUUGAAUUUUAUUUUUGAGUAAAAAAGCUUAAAUAAUUUUGAAAGACGAGAAGACCCUAUAGAGUUUUAUAAUAAAAUAUUUUAUAAUUUUUUAGAAUUUUAAAUUUUUAAAUUAUAUUUUUAUUUAAUUGGGGUGAUUGAAAAAUUUAAUGAACUUUUUUUAUUUAUUUUACAUUAAUUUAUGAAAUAUUGAUCCAUUUUUUAUGAUUAAAAGAUUAAAUUACCUUAGGGAUAACAGCGUAAUUUUUUCAAAGAGUUCUUAUCGAAGAAAAAGAUUGCGACCUCGAUGUUGGAUUAAAAAUAAUUUUUGGUGUAGAAGCUAAAUAAAUUAGGUCUGUUCGACCUUUAAAAUUUUACAUGAUCUGA
rnacentral:rRNA from 1 species